UGGGGAAUAUUGGACAAUGGGCGCAAGCCUGAUCCAGCCAUGCCGCGUGAGUGACGAAGGCCUUAGGGUUGUAAAGCUCUUUUGGCGGGGACGAUAAUGACGGUACCCGCAGAAUAAGCCCCGGCUAACUUCGUGCCAGCAGCCGCGGUAAUACGAAGGGGGCUAGCGUUGUUCGGAAUUACUGGGCGUAAAGCGCACGUAGGCGGAUUUGUCAGUCAGGGGUGAAAUCCCGAGGCUCAACCUCGGAACUGCCUCCGAUACAGCAAGUCUCGAGUCCGGAAGAGGUGAGUGGAAUUCCUAGUGUAGAGGUGAAAUUCGUAGAUAUUAGGAAGAACACCAGUGGCGAAGGCGGCUCACUGGUCCGGUACUGACGCUGAGGUGCGAAAGCGUGGGGAGCAAACAGGAUUAGAUACCCCCGUAGUCCCUGAGCGGGCUGGCAAGGCGCAU
rnacentral:rRNA from 1 species